rnacentral:rRNA from 1 species
GAUGAACGCUGGCGGCGUGCCUAAUACAUGCCAGUCGAGCGAACGGACGAGAAGCUUGCUUCUCUGAUGUUAGCGGCGGACGGGUGAGUAACACGUGGAUAACCUACCUAUAAGACUGGGAUAACUUCGGGAAACCGGAGCUAAUACCGGAUAAUAUUUUGAACCGCAUGGUUCAAAAGUGAAAGACGGUCUUGCUGUCACUUAUAGAUGGAUCCGCGCUGCAUUAGCUAGUUGGUAAGGUAACGGCUUACCAAGGCAACGAUGCAUAGCCGACCUGAGAGGGUGGUCGGCCACACUGGAACUGAGACACGGUCCAGACUCCUACGGGAGGCAGCAGUAGGGAAUCUUCCGCAAUGGGCGAAAGCCUGACGGAGCAACGCCGCGUGAGUGAUGAAGGUCUUCGGAUCGUAAAACUCUGUUAUUAGGGAAGAACAUAUGUGUAAGUAACUGUGCACAUCUUGACGGUACCUAAUCAGAAAGCCACGGCUAACUACGUG